GACGAACGCUGGCGGCGUGCUUAACACAUGCAAGUCGAACGAAGUGGCGCACGGGUGAGUAACGCGUAAUCAACCUGCCCUUCAGAGGGGGACAACAGUUGGAAACGACUGCUACUACCGCAUACUGAAGUAGGGGAUUGCGUCUGAUUAGCUCGUCGGCGGGGUAACGGCCCACCAAGGCGAUGAUCAGUAGCCGGUCUGAGAGGAUGAACGGCCACAUUGGGACUGAGAAACGGCCCAGACUCCUACGGGAGGCAGCAGUGGGGAAUCUUCCGCAAUGGACGAAAGUCUGACGGAGCAACGCCGCGUGAGUGAUGACGGCCUUCGGGUUGUAAAGCUCUGUUAAUCGGGACGCGGUACCGGAAUAGAAAGCCACGGCUAACUACGUGCCAGCAGCCGCGGUAAUUC
rnacentral:rRNA from 1 species